rnacentral:tRNA from 1 species
UAAAAGAUAAGCUAAAAAAGCUAUUGGGUUCAUACCCCAGUUAUAAAGGCUCAAAUCCUUUUCUUUUUA